GCCUGGGUGGCUCAGUCGGCAGAGCAUGCAACUCUUAAUCUUGGGGUUGUGAGUUCAAGCCCCACUUUGGGUG
rnacentral:tRNA from 1 species